rnacentral:rRNA from 1 species
GUAGGUGGCAAGCGUUGUCCGGAAUUAUUGGGCGUAAAGCGCGCGCAGGUGGUUCUUUAAGUCUGAUGUGAAAGCCCCCGGGCUCAACCGGGGAGGGUCAUUGGAAACUGGGGAACUUGAGUGCAGGAGAGGAAAGUGGAGUUCCACGUGUAGCGGUGAAAUGCGUAGAUAUGUGGAGGAACACCAGUGGCGAAGGCGACUUUCUGGCCUGUAACUGACACUGAGGCGCGAAAGCGUGGGGAGCAAACAGGAUUAGAUACCCUGGUAGUCCACGCCGUAAACGAUGAGUGCUAAGUGUUGGGGGGGUUUCCGCCCCUCAGUGCUGCAGCUAACGCAUUAAGCACUCCGCCUGGGGAGUACGGUCGCAAAGACUG